UACAGAGGGGGGCAAGCGUUGUUCGGAAUUACUGGGCGUACAGGGAGCGUAGGCGGUUGGAUAAGCCCUCCGUGAAAUCUCCAGGCUUAACCUGGAAAGUGCAGAGGGGACUGUUCAGCUAGAGGAUGGGAGAGGAGCGCGGAAUUCCCGGUGUAGCGGGUGAAAUGCGUAGAGAUCGGGAGGAAGGCCGGUGGCGAAGGCGGCGCUCUGGAACAUUUCU
rnacentral:rRNA from 1 species